rnacentral:rRNA from 1 species
AGAGUUGAUCAUGGCUCGAGGACGAACGCUGGCGGCGUGCCUAACACAUGCAAGUCGAACGGAGUGAUUUGGAAGGUCUUCGGACCGGAAGACUUCACUUAGUGGCGAACGGGUGAGUAACGCGUGAGCAACCUGCCUUUCAGAGGGGGACAACGGUUGGAAACGACCGCUAAUACCGCAUAAUGCAAUCGAGCCGCAUGACUUGGUUGCCAAAGAUUAUAUCGCUGAAAGAUGGGCUCGCGUCUGAUUAGAUAGUUGGUGGGUAACGGCCUACCAAGUCGACGAUCAGUAGCCGGACUGAGAGAUUGAACGGCCACAUUGGGACUGAGAUACGGCCCAGACUCCUACGGGAGGCAGCAGUGGGGAAUAUUGGGCAAAGUGGGGGCAACCCUGACCCAGCAACGCCGCGUGAAGGAAGAAGGCUUUCGGGUUGUAAACUUCUUUACCAGGGACGAAGGACGUGACGGUACCUGGAGAAAAAGCCACGGCUAACUACGUGCCAGCAGCCGC